GCGGGGGUUGCCAAGCCUGGCCAAAUAACCCAGCCAAAAGCUGGGAAGACCAGCGGCGCAGGGCUUAGGACCCUGUCCCGAAGGGGUUCGUGGGUUCAAAUCCCACCCCCCGCA
rnacentral:tRNA from 1 species